CGGUAGGUUGAAGUAACAGCUUCACAAACAGCCCACUUGACUACGACAUCCCUCCCUGUGCCCCCAGGCAACUUUUUCUGCCAAUUUUCUUUCCGGAGAGAGGGGAAGAAAUAAUUGAAAGAACACUGCAGCAUAGAAAAUCACACUGAAGGAGGAAUGCACUUUGGAAGAGAAAUACAGAGCUAUGACUAAAAUAUCAAGCUUCAGGCUAUUUCAUUGUAAGUCAGGAAGUCAAAUAAUUGCCUCUCAGCCCCAGACCUCCUUGUGGACUGUCUAAGAUGGCUCAAGAUAAGCCUCCUGAUGGGUUCGUAGAUGGGCA